AGUGAACGCUGGCGGUAGGCCUAACACAUGCAAGUCGAACGGCAGCACAGUAAGAGCUUGCUCUUACGGGUGGCGAGUGGCGGACGGGUGAGGAAUACAUCGGAAUCUACUUUUUCGUGGGGGAUAGCGUAGGGAAACUUACGCUAAUACCGCAUACGACCUACGGGUGAAAGCAGGGGAUCUUCGGACCUUGCGCGACUGAAUGAGCCGAUGUCGGAUUAGCUAGUUGGCGGGGUAAAGGCCCACCAAGGCGACGAUCCGUAGCUGGUCUGAGAGGAUGAUCAGCCACACUGGAACUGAGACACGGUCCAGACUCCUACGGGAGGCAGCAGUGGGGAAUAUUGGACAAUGGGCGCAAGCCUGAUCCAGCCAUACCGCGUGGGUGAAGAAGGCCUUCGGGUUGUAAAGCCCUUUUGUUGGGAAAGAAAAGCAGCAGGUUAAUACCCCGCUGUUCUGACGGUACCCAAAGAAUAAGCACCGGCUAACUUCGUG
rnacentral:rRNA from 1 species